CGUCGACGGUUCCUAGGAGGCAGGCUCCGGCCGCGGCCGCGGCGAGUUACACCGUUUUCCAACCAGUCCGCGCCCGCCGCAGCCGAGACAGCCAGAAUGUUCAGGAUGCUGAGCAGCGGCUUCGAGGAUGAUCCUUUCUUCUCCGACUCUUUCCUUGCACACCGAGAAAGUAUGCGUCAGAUGAUGAGAAGCUUUUCUGAACCUUUUGGCAGAGACUUGCUCAGUAUCUCUGAUGGUAGAGGACGAGCUCAUCAACAUAUAGGACAUGAUGAUGGAGAAGACUCCUUGACUGCAAUGAGUUGUUCUCUUCUGCCAUUCAGCAGGUUUUGUGGUAUGCAUACAGAUGUCAACCCUUUUCAGGCAAUGGACCGAAUGAUGUUAAAUAUGAGAAACAGUAUGCAGGAAUUACAAAGAAACUUUGGUAAUCUUUCAUUGGAUCCACAUGGACAUUCAUUCUGUUCUUCUUCGGUGAUGACUUAUUCCAAAGUAGGGGAUGAACCACCAAAAGUUUUCCAGGCCUCAACCCAAACCCGCAGGGCUCCAGGAGGAAUAAAGGAAACCAGAAGAGCAAUGAGAGAUUCUGACAGUGGACUAGAAAAAAUGGCUGUUGGACACCAUAUCCAUGACCGAGCUCAUGUCAUUAAAAAGUCAAAGAACAACAAGACUGGAGAUGAAGAGGUCAACCAAGAAUUCAUAAAUAUGAACGAAAGUGAUGCUCAUGCUUUUGAUGAUGAGUGGCAAACUGAGAUUUUGAAGUACAAACCCGGGGGACGAUGGCGCAAUGUUGAAAAUGCUAAAAUGCGCAGUGUUGGUCAUGAGAAGAAUCCAGGAUCCCUAGAACUUAAAAGAAGGCGAUAAGGAAGUGGAGGAUUGCUGCAGGAGCUGGAGGCUUCACAGACCCAGCGGUGGACAAGGAGAAAUCUAAUCAAAGUCCAGCCAUUGAAAGUGGAAGAAGAUCAAACAUUUUUGUGGACAAACUCAACAUCAAAGGAUCACCUCUGAAAACCCACAAAAAAUAAAUUACCAUGCAUUUGA